rnacentral:lncRNA from 1 species
GUGCCCCACAGGCAAGAGGUCCCAACUAUAGAUGAAGCACGCAGGCUACAGACAGGUCUUUUAUUGAAUCAUCUAAAUAUCACAGAUACUUAGGUCUGAGGAGUCAUCCAACAUCGUGUUUCUGUAGCUGGACAACUCUUAGAACCUCCUCAGCAGCCUGCGGAACUGUUCCUUUUUAGGAGACGUAGACAGCACCCCAACAUUUUCUGAUAUCCUUGUUUUUAACUAUUGCUGCUUGCUGAAUCAGAGCAGCUGAAUUUGAACAAGACUGAAACAAGCUCAAUGUCGCUUCCUUCAAAGAUUAAUUCGACAUUCUGGGCUUGAGAUACUGAAUAAGCAACACCUGGCCUCAUCCGAACCCUGCAGAUGGAUUUUCCACCCAAGAUGUUUCAGAUUUCAACGAGAGUCCCGUUCUCCUGGAUAACGACGUUUCUGGGGAAGUGAGCACCCACAGAGGUCAUCUUGUAAUGGAACCCAGGGCAACCCCUUUGACCAUGCUCCGUACACGACUAUGAACAGUCCCAACGGCAGCCGGCUCCCUUCAGUUUCCCCACCGUUUGUCAACCCGGAGCCUCUUUUCCUUUCCAAGGAGACUGAGUUCUACAUUGAUGUGAUUGAAGUCUCUCCUCAAGGCUGUGUGCAGUGGCUCACACCUGUAAUCCCAACACUUUGGGAGGCAGAGGCAGGCGGAUCACUUGAGGCCAGGAGUUUGAGAGCAGCCUGGCCAACAUGGUGAAACCAUGUCUCUACUAAAAAUACAAAAAUUAGCCAGGCGUGGUGGCACAUGCCUGUAGUCUCAGCUACUAGGGAGGCUGAGGCAGGAAAAUUGCUUGAACCCAGGAGGCGGAGGUUGCAGUGAGCCAAGAUCGCACCACUGCACUC